rnacentral:rRNA from 1 species
AGACCCGAAACCCGGUGAUCUAGCCAUGGGCAGGUUGAAGGUUGGGUAACACUAACUGGAGGACCGAACCGACUAAUGUUGAAAAAUUAGCGGAUGACUUGUGGCUGGGGGUGAAAGGCCAAUCAAACCGGGAGAUAGCUGGUUCUCCCCGAAAGCUAUUUAGGUAGCGCCUCGUGAAUUCAUCUCCGGGGGUAGAGCACUGUUUCGGCAAGGGGGUCAUCCCGACUUACCAACCCGAUGCAAACUGCGAAUACCGGAGAAUGUUAUCACGGGAGACACACGGCGGGUGCUAACGUCCGUCGUGAAGAGGGAAACAACCCAGACCGCCAGCUAAGGUCCCAAAGUCAUGGUUAAGUGGGAAACGAUGUGGGAAGGCCCAGACAGCCAGGAUGUUGGCUUAGAAGCAGCCAUCAUUUAAAGAAAGCGUAAUAGCUCACUGGUCGAGUCGGCCUGCGCGGAAGAUGUAACGGGGCUAAACCAUGCACCGAAGCUGCGGCAGCGACACUGUGUGUUGUUGGGUAGGGGAGCGUUCUGUAAGCCUGUGAAGGUGUGCUGUGAGGCAUGCUGGAGGUAUCAGAAGUGCGAAUGCUGACAUAAGUAACGAUAAAGCGGGUGAAAAGCCCGCUCGCCGGAAGACCAAGGGUUCCUGUCCAACGUUAAUCGGGGCAGGGUGAGUCGACCCCUAAGGCGAGGCCGAAAGGCGUAGUCGAUGGGAAACAGGUUAAUAUUCCUGUACUUGGUGUUACUGCGAAGGGGGGACGGAGAAGGCUAUGUUGGCCGGGCGACGGUUGUCCCGGUUUAAGCGUGUAGGCUGGUUUUCCAGGCAAAUCCGGAAAAUCAAGGCUGAGGCGUGAUGACGA